rnacentral:lncRNA from 1 species
GUGUGAAUAUGAGCUAUGAUUUGUUUCAAAAACAAAGAAAAAACCCCCAGAAGGCCAACAUCCAGUACACAGAUAGCAAUGGAAUAGUUUUGCUGCCUUAUUAUCUUUACUUUCUCAGAAUGCCCAAAGUUUCCAUAGCUGAACUAUUUCCUUUAAUGUGGUGUGAUGCCCAAUAUAAGCAGUCUACAUGAGACGGAGUAGAUGUCAUUAUGUUUGCUUAAAUGAUCAUUUCAGUAAUAGUAAUUUUAAUGAGAAAUGUAUCACAAGUGCUGAACAGAUUGAUGUGAAGACAGUGUUUAUACUUUGCUUAGGAUCAUACACAAAAGCUCAGGAAGUUGGAAGAAAAGAAGUUAUUCUUCCAGUUUUGUGGGUGGAGAAGCCUAAAAUUAAGAGACCAAAUGACAUAUCCAGGUUUACUUGGUAAGUGGGAAAGGAGUUGUGAAUGGAGCCCACAUUUAGUAAAUCUCAGGGUGCAGUUUCAUAGAGCAGUUCCCACAGAAAAGAGGAGAUCUCAUUUCCUCCUGUCUGCCAGUCCUGGUCCCUGUCAGACCAUCCAUGGAGCCAUCUCGAGGGAUCCAAGCAGCGAUUCUUUCCUUAACCCUACAGUAAAAUAUGGAUUGGGUUUCUCCUUACCAGCAAACUAGCGUAGAAUAGAGAAGUUGUGGGUACUUGGAAAUAACAUAAAUUGGCAGCAAAUGUAAUUUGUAUUGCUUGUAUUUAUCACUUCCCAUUGCUUGUCAAUCAGUAAAAUAAAUUACUUCAUCCACUGAUCCAAAUAUAAGUACGAAAAAUAAACAAAUUAGCUGCCCUUUGCUUGGUCUUCACGGAAUAAAAGUCUUCUGCUAUUUACAGAGCCCGAUGUUCCCAUUUCCCUGGAAGCACUGGACUCUCUUUACUGGCCCGCUUAUUAGUGACACUUACUGUUGGGAGAUUGUAAUGUUGCUGAAAGCACACAAAAUACAAUUCCUCCAGCCAUUAAUCCUUGUCUUGAUGCUACUUUGCCAGCACAAUGCCUCUCUCUUUUACCCCUGGCUUUUUUCUUUCUCUUGUUUCUUUUUCUAUCCCCUCUAUUUACCCCAGUGCAGCCACUCCACAAGAGGUGAAACGUAGUGACCUGCCUGGCUAUGAUGUCAUCGCUUCAAGCAGCUCAAUCCUCAUCUGCAUGACUCUGGGAUGGGCACGUUAAUGAGAUGCUGCAAGAUUUGCCUUCUGUUGAACAAUCAACAAAACUCUUUGAAGCAUCAGAGAACAACUUUGAAUUUCUGCUUGGCUGUGUGGUUCCAGGAUGUAUCAGGCUAUCCUGGUACCUCCGUGAUGUGGUGACAUACCAUCAACCCAACACAAUACCAGCAACUGCAGGGGUGAGCUCUGCUCGUUUCCUCACAUGAUUCCAAGAAGAAAUGAUGGUAGUAACUUUCUCAGCUGUCCCAGUUCAUCACUAGACUUAUUCCCUGGGCUAGCUGCUGGUAAAAAGCAGUCUGAUGAGGCUGCUGAAGAUAAGUAGAGAUUAAUUCUGCUGGUGUUACUUGGUAUCAUAACAUCAAGCAGCUGUAACAGCUCAUAAUACCUUGAUGGUGGUUAUAUUAGUGUGCUGUAAAUAGGUUAGUUUGAGGGGUACAAACUCCAUUGCUAGAAAUCAUUCUGUUUGCAUAACAACCUGUUAAACAACUCUUCCAUUUCCUGGUGGUUGUUUAUUAAAUAAAUAAAAUAGAAGCUUGUUUAAAAAAGGAUCU